CGGACACUUCAGUCUCCAGCCCUGGAAAUUUCAGCUGCCAGGCAGCACCCACACCUGCCCUGGGAGGGAGCCAUCUGGCACGUCGAGGCACCCGAGCCUUCAGACGAUGCACCCCAUCUGACCACCGCAACCUCGUGGGAGACCCCGUGAGAACCUCCAGCUAAAGCCAGAAAACCCCUGAACCAUAUAUGAGAGAAUAAGUGAUUGUUUCAAGUUACCGGUUCUGGGGUGGUUUGUUAUGCAGCGACAAUUGACUGGAUCAUUAAGGAUUUGUACAGACUUCCUUUCUGGGGCUUUUAAGCUUACUAAGCAUCAGUUCUCAUCCACAAAACAACCUAAGGAUGUCCAGGAGAUGGGACAAGUUUGAAGCAUUUGAGUAAUGACUGGAAGCACAAAGGGAACCGGACGCCACCACUAAUUGUCACCAAUGGAGUAAACAACACGUGCCUGUGUUCUUCAGGAAUGGCGGGGAUGCAACCAGAAAAGAGAGUUCUCCUUGAUGGCACGUCCACACGCGGCUCCCACUCAUCUCUCUCGGCCAGCCGCCCGCAGCCUGUUCUCCAUCACUGUCCAGCCGUUCCCCACCUGCCUCGAGUCUGUGGCGUGGGCCGUGCAAGUGGUUCUCGAUCGCAGGCAUGUUUUAUCCAUCAUGACUUGGUUGUUACGAUACACAGUGUUUAUUUUUCUUCAUAAAAAGAUGCAAGCUGUGCGCCUCCAAAUGCUGGCAGCUCAGAAUAUUCCAUUUGUUUGUGAAGAGACAGACUGGAUGGCACAAUUUCAAUCAAACUAUGAAAUGCAGGCUGGCAUGCCUGGAGAGAAAGAUCAUAACAGUGUGUACUCUUCUUUCUGAGAAGCCGCGGACUGCACACGUGGUUAACUCAUCAGCCCCUGGAAGGCGUCCUGGUGGAUGUGUUCCAUCAGCCAUGGCAAAGCAGGAAGGGGACUCUGUCAAAGCUGUCUGUCCUCUCCCUGGGGACAGGCGGGGCCACAUGACACAUGCUGUGCCACAUUGAUUCACUCUGGGUGGAAGGGGUUGUGUCCUUUGAAUUCCCAAAUGGAAAUGGCUAGAGUUUUUUUUUUUCUAAUUACAAAAGUAAUAAAUGGUCAUUUACAUUUUUUCCAGGAAUAAAAAGACUAAAGACUAAACAACACACCAAACAAAAAAGAACUCCACGAGGACUAUAAUUUCUUCUUGAUUUUUAUCCAUCUGCCUGUCUAUAACUGACCUGCCUUUUGCAACCAUAGGCUUCUCUCCAAGUACACAUAUAGAGAUCUAUACCUUAAUUUUUAUGGCUGAAUGUUAUUCCACCGUGUAGCUAUAUCAGCCCCCUAUUGAGAGAUGGUUGGUUACGGGUUGUUUUUUUCUUUUAAAAACUAUACUAUGUUGAAUAUCCUUAUGCAUCUCACUCCCUUUGUUUUCCUAAUUGUUUUGGGUAAACUUCUAGCGGUGGAAUUGCUGGAGAAAUGCAUUUGAUCAACAUUCCUGAACUGCCCUCCCCAAAGUCUGCGUGAAUGACACCCACCCCCGUCGCUUAUGAGGCUGAUCCCAGCUUCACACCUGCAUUAUCAACGCAGGGCACAAAUCUUUGUCACUUUCUGGAGUGAUUUUCUCUUAGAUUUCUGAAUGAUUAGCAUACCUUGACAUGGUAAACCUUUAUAUAAUAAAGUUUUUAAUUUUUCUUAUUAACAUGAAUUGUAGCUAUAUGAAAUAUUUUAUUGGUUGUC
rnacentral:lncRNA from 10 species